UACAGAGGUGGCAAGCGUUGUUCGGAAUUACUGGGCGUAAAGGGCGCGUAGGCGGCCUUCUAAGUCAGACGUGAAAUCCCCCGGCUUAACCUGGGAACUGCGUCUGAUACUGGGAGGCUUGAGUAUGGGAGAGGGAUGUAGAAUUCCAGGUGUAGCGGUGAAAUGCGUAGAUAUCUGGAGGAAUACCGGUGGCGAAGGCGGCAUCCUGGACCAUUACUGACGCUGAGGCGCGACAGCGUGGGGAGCAAACAGG
rnacentral:rRNA from 1 species